AUAAAAAAGUGAAAAUUAAAACAUCAAAAAUUAGCAAGACGUACAAUUACCACUCGUUUUCAGAAACAAGGAUGUCGAAAAAUUAACCAGCGAUGAUUGUCUCAUUAGUUGCCCCCGUUAUAUGAUUAUUGAAAUGAUGGAUAUUGCACCGACCGUCCAUAGAGCAAGUGGUAAAGGGCAUGGUGGUUGGUACCCGAGAUCCAAGUUCGAAUCCUAAUUGAUUAACAUUUCCAGCUAAGUUUAUUUCUAAAUGAAAUAAAUGAAGCGGGUAGCGUGCUACCUAUCUAAUGGUAAUUUUUAUAAGUGAGAUCGAUCACAUUAUAUAUUAUAGAUUCAUUUAGGGAGGGUUCGGAUCUACGAUCGAU
rnacentral:lncRNA from 1 species